GGCUCCCUGUGGCGCAGGGAGGCGCUGCUUUCCCUGUUGAGGAAGGAAGAAUCAGCCUGGAAGUUCGAAUGCUUCGGCAGCCG
rnacentral:tRNA from 1 species